CCCCUCUUAGGGUCACACCUGGAGAGUUUCCAGUACUCUACCAGUCUCGACUACAGGAGGGAGAGUCAGACAGAGGCAUAUCCAUUCCAUUCCCAGCUUGGCCUGUGUCUAGUGAGUGGAAAACAAUCUGCUACAAGU